rnacentral:rRNA from 1 species
UGGGGAAUCUUGGACAAUGGGGGCAACCCUGAUCCAGCCAUGCCGCGUGAGUGAUGAAGGCCUUAGGGUCGUAAAGCUCUUUCGCCUGUGAAGAUAAUGACGGUAGCAGGUAAAGAAACCCCGGCUAACUCCGUGCCAGCAGCCGCGGUAAUACGGAGGGGGUUAGCGUUGUUCGGAAUUACUGGGCGUAAAGCGCACGUAGGCGGAUCGGAAAGUUGGGGGUGAAAUCCCGGGGGCUCAACCCCGGAACUGCCUCCAAAACUAUCGGUCUAGAGUUCGAGAGAGGUGAGUGGAAUUCCGAGUGUAGAGGUGAAAUUCGAUAGAUAUUCGGAGGAACACCAGUGGCGAAGGCGGCUCAGCUGGCUCGAUACUGACGCUGAGGUGCGAAAGUGUGGGGAAGCAAACGAGGAUUAGAUACCCUGGUAGUCCACACCGUAAACGAUGAAUGCCAGUCGUCGGAUAGCAUGCUAUUCGGUGACACACCUAACGGAUUAAGCAUUCCGCCUGGGGAGUACGGUCGCAAGAUUAAAACUCAAAUGAAUU